rnacentral:rRNA from 3 species
CUACACCUGAAACAAGCAAGAUUACCCGCUGAACUUAAGCAUAUCAGUA